AGGAUGAACGCUAGCGGCAGGCUUAACACAUGCAAGUCGAGGGGUAACAGGAGAGCUUGCUCUCGCUGACGACCGGCGCACGGGUGAGUAACGCGUAUGCAACCUACUUUUUACUGGAGAAUAGCUCCGAGAAAUCGGGAUUAAUACUCCAUAACAUUUCGAAAUGGCAUCAUUUUGAAAUUAAAGCUCCGGCGGUAAUUAAUGGGCAUGCGUGACAUUAGUUAGUUGGUGAGGUAACGGCUCACCAAGACUGCGAUGUCUAGGGGGUCUUAAAGGAUGAUCCCCCACACUGGUACUGAGACACGGACCAGACUCCUACGGGAGGCAGCAGUGAGGAAUAUUGGGCAAUGGACGCAAGUCUGACCCAGCCAUGCCGCGUGCAGGAUGACUGCCCUAUGGGUUGUAAACUGCUUUUAUACGGGAAGAAAAGUCUCUACGUGUAGAGAACUGACGGUACCGUAAGAAUAAGGAUCGGCUAACUCCGUGCCAGCAGCCGCGGUAAUACGGAGGAUCCAGGCGUUAUCCGGAUUUAUUAGGUUUAAAGGGUGCGUAGGCGGGAUAAUAAGUCAGUGGUGAAAGCCUGCAGCCUAACUGUAGAAUUGCCAUUGAUACUGUUGUUCUUGAGUAUAGUUGAGGUGGGCGGAAUGUGUCAUGUAGCGGUGAAAUGCUUAGAUAUGACACAGAACACCGAUUGCGCAGGCAGCUCACUAAACUAUCACUGACGCUGAGGCACGAAAGCGUGGGGAGCGAACAGGAUUAGAUACCCUGGUAGUCCACGCUGUAAACGAUGAUUACUCGUUGUGCGCGAUAUAUUGUGCGUGACUGAGCGAAAGCAUUAAGUAAUCCACCUGGGGAGUACGUCGGCAACGAUGAAACUCAAAGGAAUUGACGGGGCCCGCACAAGCGGAGGAACAUGUGGUUUAAUUCGAUGAUACGCGAGGAACCUUACCUGGGCUUAAAUGUAGAUUGACUUUUCUCGAAAGAGGAUUUCCCUUCGGGGCAAUCUACAAGGUGCUGCAUGGUUGUCGUCAGCUCGUGCCGUGAGGUGUCGGGUUAAGUCCCAUAACGAGCGCAACCCUUAUCGUUAGUUGCCAGCGGGUAAUGCCGGGGACUCUAACGAAACUGCCAGUGUAAACUGUGAGGAAGGUGGGGAUGACGUCAAAUCAGCACGGCCCUUAUGUCCAGGGCUACACACGUGUUACAAUGGCCGAUACAAAGGGAUGCUACCUGGUAACAGGAUGCAAAUCUCUAAAGUCGGUCCCAGUUCGGAUCGAAGUCUGCAACUCGACUUCGUGAAGUUGGAUUCGCUAGUAAUCGUAUAUCAGCAAUGAUACGGUGAAUACGUUCCCGGGCCUUGUACACACCGCCCGUCAAGCCAUGGAAGCUGGGGGGACCUAAAGUCUGUAACCGCAAGGAGCGGCCUAGGGUAAAACCAGUAACUGGGGCUAAGUAGUAACAAGGUA
rnacentral:rRNA from 1 species